GUAGGUGGCAAGCGUUGUCCGGAAUUACUGGGCGUAAAGCGCGCGCAGGUGGGUUCUUUAAGUCUGAUGUGAAAGCCCCCGGGCUCAACCGGGGAGGGUCAUUGGAAACUGGGGAACUUGAGUGCAGGAGAGGAAAGUGGAAUUCCACGUGUAGCGGUGAAAUGCGUAGAUAUGUGGAGGAACACCAGUGGCGAAGGCGACUUUCUGGCCUGUAACUGACACUGAGGCGCGAAAGCGUGGGGAGCAAACAGGAUUAGAUACCCUGGUAGUCCACGCCGUAAACGAUGAGUGCUAAGUGUUGGGGGGUUUCCGCCCCUCAGUGCUGCAGCUAACGCAUUAAGCACUCCGCCUGGGGAGUACGGCCGCAAGACUG
rnacentral:rRNA from 1 species